rnacentral:tRNA from 1 species
UCCCCUGUAGCUCAGUGGCAGAGCGCGCGGCUGUUAACCGCGUUGUCGUUGGUUCGAUCCCAACCGGGGGAGCCA